rnacentral:rRNA from 2 species
GCGCGAAAAACUUCACACUGCAGGCAACUGUGAUGAGGGAACUCCAAGUGACUGCACAAUGUGUAGCCUUUUCUUGACUGUUAACAAGUCUUGGAAUAAGGGCUGGGAAAGACCGGUGCCAGCCGCCGCGGUAAUACCGGCAGCUCAAGUGGUCGUCGUUUUUAUUGGGCCUAAAAACGUCCGUAGCCUGUUCAGUAAACCCGUGGGUAAAUCAACCAGCUUAACUGGUUGAAUUCUGCGGAGACUGCUGGACUAGGGACCGGGAGAGGUAUGAGGUACUCUCAGGGUAGGGGUAAAAUCCUGUCAUCCUGAGAGGACCACCUGUUGCGAAGGCGUCAUACUGGAACGGAUCCGACGGUCAGGGACGAAGCCUAGGGGCACGAGCCGGAUUAGAUACCCGGGUAGUCCUAGGUGUAAACGCUGUGGAC